GUCUUUGCAGGCACACAUCUGGAACUGCUGGAUGCCCACGUGUAGAACCCUUUUAUACAUCGGGGGACGAGUCUGAGGUGGCGUCUGAGCAUGUGCGAGGCCCAUUUCACGCUGGAGGCCGUCCGGAGGGGAGCUCGUGGCUGCAGUUCUCAGGCCUAGGCCUAGGCCUGCUGGUGGAGCGCUUGACUCACCCCUGGUGGGUCUGGAUGCGUCGUGGGACCCUGGAAGUCGCUGCUGGGCUGUUUAGUCCCCGGCGAAGAAUGGCUGGAGGCUCGGGAUCGAAGCGGUAAUAAGUCGAGGACUUUCGAGGAUCGGUGGCGCGGCGAUGGCUGGUCCUGAUCCGGAUGUGCUGGCCCCUGGUUGGUUGGAGAAGCCUGGCGGAGGUCGCGGAGCAGGCACACAUCUGGAACUGCUGGAUGCCCACGUGUAGGACCCUUUUAUACAUCGGGGUGGAGUCUGAGAUUGAUACGGGAAUUGGAGUUUGGCCAGGCCUCCUCCUUUUUGAAGCUUGAUAUAUUGGAAGAACACAUACACACAAAAGAAAAGAUUUGCUGCCAAAGAAGGAAGAAGCUUCAUUUGAAAAUAAAUCAGUCUCUGGGUAUUCUUGAGCUAUA